rnacentral:rRNA from 1 species
GGCGUCGCUGCCGUGGAGGCGCUCAAGGACCAGGCGGGGCUGUGCCGCUGGGACUACGCGCUCCGCUCGCUCUACCACCGUGCCGUGGUCACCGGCUUCCGCGCCGUCCCGGCGUCCCUCUCCUCCUCCUCCCAGCCCGCCGUCGGCAGGGCUGCUCGGCCCAGGCGAUCGGAGCAGGAGAAGCUGCACAUGGCGUACCACAUCGUCUGCUGGGGACCCAACUGA